rnacentral:rRNA from 1 species
ACUCUGGGAUAAGCCCGGGAAACUGGGUCUAAUACUGGAUAUGCACCGUGGACCGCAUGGUCCUUGGUGGAAACAUUUUUUGGUCAAGGAUGGACUCGCGGCCUAUCAGCUUGUUGGUGAGGUAAUGGCUCACCAAGGCGACCACGGGUAGCCGGCCUGAGAGGGUGACCGGCCACACUGGGACUGACACACGGCCCAGACUCCUACGGGAGGCAGCAGUGGGGAAUAUUGCACAAUGGGCGAAAGCCUGAUGCAGCGACGCCGCGUGAGGGAUGACGGCCUUCGGGUUGUAAACCUCUUUCAGUAGGGAAGAAGCGAAAGUGACGGUACCUGCAGAAGAAGCGCCCCGCUAACUACGUGCCACCACCCGCGGUAAUACGUAGGGCGCAGGCGUUAUCCGGAAUUAUUGGGCGUAAAGAGCUCGUAGGCGGUUUGUCCCGUCUGCCGUGAAAGUCCGAGGCUCAACCUCUGAUCUGCGGUGGGUACGGGCAGACUAUAGUGAUGUACGGGAUACUGGAAUUCCUGGUGUAGCGGAGAAAUGCGCAGAUAUCAGGAGGAACACCGAUGGCGAAGGCAGGUCUCUGGGCAUUAACUGACGCUGAGGAGCGACUGCAUGGGGAGCGAACAAGAUUAGAUACCCUGGUAGUCCAUGCCGUAAACGUUGGGCACUCGGUGUGGGAGGACAUUCCACGUUUUGCAGCGCUGUAGCUUACGCAUGUAAGUGCCCCGCCUGGGGAGUACCGCCGCAA